CUUGAUGAAUCAUUCCGGACCGAGCAUGGUUGAUACGCUCGAAGGGGAAUGCAGUGUGUCCCAGAGACAAGCGUUAACACUCUUCAGAUGUGAAGUGACAGACCAUCUGGUUGUAGUGAUCCUUUUGUGUGAGAAAAGGUGUGCUUUGGUGACUCUGGUGAUUGAAAGGUUUGGCGAGUACCUGUAAACUCGACCACAUAUGCUCUCAGAAUGGUAAGUUUGGAAGAGCUGCAAGAUGCAAGUCUGUGCUGAAGAAGCAAGAGGAUAGUUGCCCCACAUGAAUGGCAAAGGGGGUGAUUGUUGGGUUGUUGCCAUUGCAUGUGCAGCAAAUGGUUGGCACCAACCAUUGACUAUUGGCAGCCACCAUUUUCAAUGGUUAGGCAACCUACCAUGCCUAACCUUGCAGCCAUGUUUGACAGCAGAACAAGUGGAACAGCUGCCAUGAAAUGCCUAUAAAUAGAGGCAUUAUGUGAGAGCAAAAUGAGAGAGAGAACGUGAGUGUGUGCAAGAGAGUGGAGAGAAAGAGAGCUGCAAUGGCAGCAGCCUUGCUGCCAUUGCAGCAGCUGCAAGUGCAGCAAAAGAGC
rnacentral:lncRNA from 1 species